CUCUUUUAAAGAAUCUGAGGCGGCUAUGAACUCUAAAGUUGUGGAUGGUGUGGUUCAGCCAUGUAGGGAUAUGG
rnacentral:sRNA from 1 species